rnacentral:tRNA from 1 species
GCGAGGGUGGCGGAACUGGUAGACGCACCAGACUUAGGAUCUGGCGCCUAGGCGUGGGGGUUCGACUCCCCCCUCUCGCACCA